UACGGGGGGGGCAAGCGUUGUUCGGAAUUACUGGGCGUAAAGGGCUCGUAGGCGGCCAACUAAGUCAUACGUGAAAUCUCAGGGCUCAACCCUGAAACUGCAUUCGAUACUGCCUGGCUAGGGUACUGGAGAGGAGACUGGAAUUUACGGUGUAGCAGUGAAAUGCGUAGAUAUCGUAAGGAAGACCAGUGGCGAAGGCGAGUCUCUGGACAGUUACCGACGCUGAGGCACGAAGGUCAGGGGAGCAAACGGG
rnacentral:rRNA from 1 species